AUUGAACGCUGGCGGAAUGCUUUACACAUGCAAGUCGAACGAUGAACCUUAGCUUGCUCCGGGGAUUAGUGGCGAACGGGUGAGUAAUAUAUCGGAACGUGCCUUGUAAUGGGGGAUAACUAGUCGAAAGAUUAGCUAAUACCGCAUACGCCCUGAGGGGGAAAGUAGGGGAUCUUCGGACCUUACGUUAUAAGAGCGGCCGAUAUCUGAUUAGCUAGUUGGUGGGGUAAUGGCCUACCAAGGCGACGAUCAGUAGCUGGUCUGAGAGGACGACCAGCCACACUGGAACUGAGACACGGUCCAGACUCCUACGGGAGGCAGCAGUGGGGAAUUUUGGACAAUGGGCGCAAGCCUGAUCCAGCCAUUCCGCGUGAGUGAAGAAGGCCUUCGGGUUGUAAAGCUCUUUCGCAAGGGAAGAAAACUUACCAUCGAAUAAAUGGUGAGGCUGACGGUACCUUGAUAAGAAGCACCGGCUAACUACGUG
rnacentral:rRNA from 1 species